AUUGAACGCUGGCGGCAGGCCUAACACAUGCAAGUCGAACGAGUGGCGGACGGGUGAGUAAUGUCUGGGAAACUGCCCGAUGGAGGGGGAUAACUACUGGAAACGGUAGCUAAUACCGCAUACCAUCGGAUGUGCCCAGAUGGGAUUAGCUAGUAGGUGGGGUAACGGCUCACCUAGGUGACGCUCCCUAGCUGGUCUGAGAGGCUGACCAGCCACACUGGAAAUGAUGCACGGUCCAGACACCUACGGCAGGCAGCAGUGGGUAAGAUUGCACAAUGGGCGCAAGCCUGAGGCAGCGGUGCCGCGUGUAUGAAGAAGGCCUGCGGGUUGGAAAGUACUUUCAGCGAGGAGGCGUUGCGCGGAGAAGAAGCACCGGCUAACUGCGUGCCAGCAGCGGCGGUAAUUC
rnacentral:rRNA from 1 species